rnacentral:rRNA from 1 species
GACGAACGCUGGCGGCGUGCUUAACACAUGCAAGUCGAGCGGUAAGGCCCUUUCGGGGUACACGAGCGGCGAACGGGUGAGUAACACGUGGGUGACCUGCCCUCAGCUCUGGGAUAAGCCUGGGAAACUGGGUCUAAUACUGGAUAUGACUCCACGGUGCAUGUCGUGGGGUGGAAAGCCUUGUGCGGCUGAGGAUGGGCCCGCGGCCUAUCAGCUUGUUGGUGGGGUNAGGGCCCUACCAAGGCGACGACGGGUAGCCGGCCUGAGAGGGCGACCGGCCACACUGGGACUGAGACACGGCCCAGACUCCUACGGGAGGCAGCAGUGGGGAAUCUUGCGCAAUGGGCGAAAGCCUGACGCAGCGACGCCGCGUGAGGGAUGACGGCCU